GACGUAGGGCGCGAGCGUUGUCCGGAUUUAUUGGGCGUAAAGAGCUCGUAGGCGGCUUGUCGCGUCGACUGUGAAAACCCGCGGCUCAACCGUGUGGGUCUGCAGUCGAUACGGGCAGGCUAGAGUUCGAUAGGGGAGACUGGAAUUCCUGGUGUAGCGGUGAAAUGACGCAGAUAUCAGGAGGAACACCGGUGGCGAAGGCGGGUCUCUGGGCCGAUACUGACGCUGAGGAGCGAAAGCGUGGGGAGCGAACAGG
rnacentral:rRNA from 1 species